AAGUCGUAACAAGGUUUCCGUAGGUGAACCUGCGGAAGGAUCAUUAACAAAUUCCAAAACUCGUAUUCUGUUGGUACUGUGUGUAUGUAUGUGUGUGUGUGUGAGCGCGCAUGUCAGUCAUCCAUAUACAACCUGAACCUUUAGGGGGAAUGGGGGUGGUUGCCGUGUGUCAUCAUAUUUACUGUCAUAUAUUUCAGGACCAACAGGUUAAAAUACAAACACAAACAUUUAUUGACAACUAAUGGAGAACCCCACGAUUAAUCGUAAAAACAACUUUUAACAAUGGAUCUCUCGGCUCUU
rnacentral:misc_RNA from 1 species